CCUACGGGAGGCUGCAGUAGGGAAUAUUGCUCAAUGGGGUCAACCCUGAAGCAGCAAAGCCGCGUGGGGGAUGACGGUUUUAUGAUUGUAAAAUCCUUUUGUUAAGGAAGAAUAUCACGCUAUCUAACGAAUAAGCACGAGCUAACUCCGUGCCAGCAUCCGCGGUAAUACGGAGGGUGCAAGCGUUACUCGGAAUCACUGGGCGGAAAGAGUGCGUAGGCGGGGUAAUAAGUCAGGUGUGAAAUCCGGUAGCUUAACUACAGAACGGCAUUUGAAACUGUUACUCUGGAGUGUGGGAGAGGUAGGUGGAAUUCUUGGUGUAGGGGUAAAAUCCGUAGAGAUCAAGAGGAAUACUCAUUGCGAAGGCGACCUGCUGGAACAUUACUGACGCUGAUGCACGAAAGCGUGGGGAGCAAACAGGAUUAGAUACCCUUGUAGUC
rnacentral:rRNA from 1 species